ACGCUCGACACCUACGGGAGGCAGCAGUGGGGAUAUUGCGCAAUGGGGGAAACCCUGACGCAGCAACGCCGCGUGAAGGACGAAGGUUUUCGGAUUGUAAACUUCUUUUGUUAGGGACGAAGAAAUGACGGUACCUGACGAAUAAGCUCCGGCUAACUACGUGCCAACAGCCGCGGUAAUCUGAGCGGGCUGGCAAGGC
rnacentral:rRNA from 1 species